rnacentral:rRNA from 1 species
UGCCAGCAGCCGCGGUAAUACGAAGGGUGCUAGCGUUGUUCGGAAUUACUGGGCGUAAAGCGCACGUAGGCGGACUAUUAAGUCAGGGGUGAAAUCCCGGGGCUCAACCCCGGAACUGCCUCUGAUACUGGUAGUCUUGAGUCCGAGAGAGGUUAGUGGAAUUCCCAGUGUAGAGGUGAAAUUCGUAGAUAUUGGGAAGAACACCAGUGGCGAAGGCGGCUAACUGGCUCGGUACUGACGCUGAGAUGCGAAAGCGUGGGGAGCAAACAGGAUUAGAUA